AAGCAAGGGAGAUAUUCUGGAUUCAGACAUACCUACAUAGGUGUUCAACAGACGGAGGGGUAAAGUACAGAGUUGUGUGUAAGUGGUGACAGAGGUAGACAGGGUAAUAAAGCAGGUGGGAACGGGUUCUCAUGCUUGUGUAAGUGGCCCUGUCAUUGUCUAAUUAUUUGCCAGUGAAUUAACUUUUUCUUUCUUCUGCCAGAGGGACAAGACUUCCAGAAACUGUGGCAUCUGAGUGAGUCCUUGUCUGGUAUUAGCUGGCUCUGAGAUGACUCUACCCAUCCAUACCCAGAUCAGGCUGGUUCAGCGAAGUGCUGACAGUUACAGCUGGUGUGCCCUUCACUAGGGGCACACAUCAUGCUCGCUGUUGGUACCAACCCAGCCCCAGAACCCUGGUUUCCAGUUGGCAUCAGCUCAUUUGUGGGAGGAAGACAAAAGAUGGUUGGACCAUUGUUGGGAAAGAUGACAUACGGAAGAACAUAUCAAAAGUUGGACAGAAACGGAGCAUGGGGAAGUAAAAAAAUCUGACGUUAAAAAAUGGCCGCCAAUGAAAAGAAUCUGACCCAUACGUAUCUUAUUUUGCUAUACAGGUUUGUUUUUCACCUUGAAUGUGAUUCUGGAACCGUUGGAGCCCCGAUUUACAGUUUGGAGAUCGUUUGGGUAUUUCAGCGCUCUGAAGUCUCUGAGUGGAUUUCGGAGGGCAGAGGCAACGUGUGUGAACUUCAUAGCGAGAAUGCUGAGUUCCAGUGUUCGUCUCCAUUUCACCGAUUUAAAACUUCCAUUGUUCACUGAUUAAAGUAAUGAAGGAGAUUGAAACAUUGAGGCGAAUGCAGAAGACAAAUAUUUGAAAGGACGUGAAGAGAUGAGAAGCAAAGCAGAGAUUCAACAUAAAGCAAAGAUGGAGAAGAUAAAAAGAUAAUGAAGAUGGCGUCUCUGAAAAAUCCAUCACCUUUAAUAAUACA